AUGCAUUUCUGAUGGUGCAUUUGUCUGUGAAGCACAUUCAAGAAGAACGGAAAUGAAGAUAAAGACUUGAAGCAAUUCAAAAGAUAUUGGGGACAAGGAUAGUGCCAAAACCUCAAUGGAGAUAGCAUGUUUUUAUUCCAGAAGAUGAAGGUUUGCGUAUUUAUUAGACGCAGCACCACUGCUGUUUUGCUUGUUCAGAUACUAAUAACAGCCAUUACGAAAGCAAUUUACAGAUAUUAAAGAAGGCAGGCAGUAAUGUUAUUCUCGGUACCCUGGGUCACACGAAACGUUAAACCAUGAUUUAUUUAGGCUGCGGUUUAACAAACUACAAGUUAACCAUGAGUUGUCAUACAGAUGCUUAAACAAACUAUGGCUUGUUUCUUCAAAGUUUAGUUUGCUUUCCAUGUUUUUGUAGCUUGAUAAGCAUCUCGGGUGGCCAAAGAACCAACCUUGGCUUAGAGAGACAGCAAGCUUGGUGCCACUUGGCUCCCGCCCGGUCCAUUUUGCUGCCAUGUUAUGGUAAGCUAAGCCAAAGUUUGGUCCAGCAUGUCAUCCAAACUGGGACCUGUGAUUAAGCUCUCCCUUCACCCUGAGCUGUAACCAAGAACAAGCCAAGAGCAAACUUCCACAUGAGUAUCCCUGACUGGAUGAUGGAUCAUGUGCUCAAUCCUCCCUCAACCAGCUGCUGGGUCUGAGGGUAUGUAGUCCCAGUUUGUUAAAAGUACUGAUAGCACCAGUCAGCCUUUGGGGAAGGGUGAUGGCUCAGUGGUAGAGCAUGUGCUUAACAUGCAAAAGGUCCCAGGUUCCAUCACUGGCAUUGAGUAUAAAGAUUCCUCACGAGGUGCAAUUCAGUUAUCAACCAGAUGCUUGGAAACCACUGGAACAGACCUUGCUUGACUACUUUUGGCUAUUGCAGCAGAUGUGAGCUCUUUGCUUCGCUGUUCUUGCAUCUCUAGGCUUGAAUGCAUAUGUUGAAUGCCUCAUUUUGGUGCCAAGCCUGUGGUGGCAACCUCUGUGAGCUUGCAUCCUCUUUCACUGAAAGGCUGCACGUUUCUGCCAUCGAGCAAAAUGGGCAGAGCUUCUUAUUUGUAAGUAGAAAUUGUAACGUGUGCAGAUUACACUCAGAAGUGGUCAGGAAAGUCUGGUGCCAAAGUACCAUUAGUCAAAGAAAUUAAUCAUUUAGAUCUCAGCGUAAAGGGUAUUUUGACGAUGAAAUACAACUCUAUCCAAUACCUGGUGUUGGGAAGAACUGUGAGCAGCAAGCAUAUUAAACAUGAAUGACCUAAUCAGACAAAUUGUAUGGCUGUGCAUGAGUUUCUCAUUAAUGUUUCACUAAGAAGCCUUGAGAGAGAGAGAAAACAUGCUGCAUUAGAGUGAGGACUAACAGAGGGACGUCAGGAGUAGAGUAACUUAAUGACCUCCCAAAACACAGUGGUUUGAAGUAUCAUUAAAAAAUACAAGAGAAAUUUGCUUACAUAUAGACACAAUAUUGUCGUCGUCCUCCUGCAUAUUUCUAAGUUCUCAAAAACUCGGUGAGUUAGGGACUUUCCUGCAUGCAAAGACAGGCUCUGGAAGAUUGAGAGGAGACCAAUAGGGGGUCCAAGAGUCAAGAAGGUGUGUACUGCACAUGCUGUAGUGGGAAGUGAAGGGCAGAUGAACUCGUCAGCCUGGGAAGGUAGCCUAUCUAGGAGAAGGAAAACUCUGAUGCAAUACCUCCACAGCCUUAAAGAUAUACCGGUAGUCAUUCGUGAGAAAGAAGGAACAAGUUACCAG